rnacentral:rRNA from 1 species
UUGCUUCUCUUGAGAGCGGCGGACGGGUGAGUAAUGCCUAGGAAUCUGCCUGGUAGUGGGGGAUAACGUUCGGAAACGGACGCUAAUACCGCAUACGUCCUACGGGAGAAAGCAGGGGACCUUCGGGCCUUGCGCUAUCAGAUGAGCCUAGGUCGGAUUAGCUAGUUGGUGGGGUAAUGGCUCACCAAGGCGACGAUCCGUAACUGGUCUGAGAGGAUGAUCAGUCACACUGGAACUGAGACACGGUCCAGACUCCUACGGGAGGCAGCAGUGGGGAAUAUUGGACAAUGGGCGAAAGCCUGAUCCAGCCAUGCCGCGUGUGUGAAGAAGGUCUUCGGAUUGUAAAGCACUUUAAGUUGGGAGGAAGGGCAGUAAAUUAAUACUUUGCUGUUUUGACGUUACCGACAGAAUAAGCACCGGCUAACUCUGUGCCAGCAGCCGCGGUAAUACAGAGGGUGCAAGCGUUAAUCGGAAUUACUGGGCGUAAAGCGCGCGUAGGUGGUUAGUUAAGUUGGAUGUGAAAUCCCCGGGCUCAACCUGGGAACUGCAUUCAAAACUGACUGACUAGAGUAUGGUAGAGGGUGGUGGAAUUUCCUGUGUAGCGGUGACAUGCGUAGAUAUAGGAAGGAACACCAGUGGCGAAGGCGACCACCUGGACUGAUACUGACA